AAAGGAUAAUUUAGUAAUAACAAAAUGUGUCCUGAUGCAGCUUGACAAGAUGAAAUUUGCAAAAAAUAAAUAUGGUUCCUGGCCAAUAUGCAUUCACUGUAAUGACUUCAGGCAUCCCUCCCUUAAUGAAUUACAAACCAACAAUAGUCUUCUGAUUGGUUUUUGGCUGCAACAAACAGGGAAUGGUAUGACUAUUAAAUAUCUAUGGGACAUACUUCACACUGGCGUACAGACUUAUGGAGAGGUGACACAUAUACCAUGUAGUUCUUAACAGGUUAUCCUGAUUACUUCUUCUGGUUCUCACAGGUAGGCAAAAAGUAUGAAUUCACUGGAGCAGAUUUUUCUUUUGGAAAAACAUAAAUCAAUCUGAAUUCAUUGAAACUGUGUUUUUUUUUUAAGAGAAAGUGUUCAUAAAUCUUGGAGAUAACUUUUAUUUUUUUAAAAGAUCUAUAUUUUAUGACAGACAGUUUAAAUUUGCACCUGAGACCAUAAUAGUUACUAUGAAAGGAGAAUGGAUAACAAAUGGAAUGGAAGGACUCCCAUUAAGCAUAAAAUUACUCGACAAGAACCACCGUGAAUCAAUUAAUCAUAAUGUAACAGGACUUUAAUUUUGGGGCAUUCUCAAAAUCCAAAAUGUUUACAUCAUUUUUCAUUGUAACAAAUAUGAUUAUCAUUGUUUACAGCUGAUGAAACACAUGAUUUUUAUCACAGUAAUUAAAUACUUGUUCAAUUGUUUUGAUUUUUUUUUAAAUUUAUUUUCUAGUAGUCUUCAAAUUGAAUUCUAAGGCUAUCUAUAAGGCUGUCUAAAGGAGACUGUGACAAUGAUGCCCUUCCACCCUUUAGAUCGUGUGCAAAAAGGAUCAGAAAAAUGAAUUUACAGGACAGCAUGAUCAUGCAAGACAUAUCUGUAGUUUAGAGUAAGGCUUGGAUCCAGGUUUGUUGCAGAGAAAUAACAUAAGGCAUUUAGGACUACAGUAAGACUAUUAUAAAUAGAUAGUUUUAUUUCAUAGAAUCAUAGAAUGGUUUGGGUUGGAAGGGACCAAUAAGAUCAUCUAGUUCCAAGCUCCCUGAUGUAAGCAGGGACACCUCCCACUAACCAGGUGCUCAAAGCCCCAUCCAGCCUGGCCUCAAUGCCUACAGAAAGGAGGCAUCCACAACCUUGCUGGGCAACCUGUUCCAGUGUCUCACCACCCUCACAGUAAAUAAUUUCUUCCUAAUAUCCAGUAUAAAACUACCUUCUUCCAGUUUAAAGUCAUUUCCCCUCAUCCUGUUGCUACGUGCUUUUAUAAAAAGUCUUUCCCUAGCUUUCCUAUAGGCUCCCUUCAGGUACUGGAAGGCCACUAUAAGGUCCUCCUGGAGACUUCUCUUCUUCAGGCUGAAGAACCCCAACUCUCUCAGCCUCAUUUGAAUGAGAAUAUUAUUUUGUCACCAGUGCUUCAGAUUUGUCCCUCAGUUAUUUAUCUCAGUAUUAUUUAAACAUUCAAAAUUAUUGACACCUUCAUAUGCCAGCUAACAGGACUGCAUAUUAUUCAAGAACAGGUAGAUACAGAUAGGUAUAUUAGCUGUGUGACUGCAGAGGGCAGACUUGGCAUCACCAGUAUUUUUAUUUACAUGGAUUCACUCAGUAAGGAAUGCUAAUUAUUCAAAUAGCCUAAAAGAAGGUUCCUGAUUAUUGUCCCAUGGAAACAAAUGAUGCCAAAACCAAUUUUUGAAGAUAAUUUUCUUUGCAUUUUUUUGCAGAUUCCUAUUAAACUAAAAUUUUGAAAUGUAAAAUAGAAAUAAGAGCUUAAAGAAAGAAAACACUGAGGGCACUAACUUGUUUCAAAUUUUAUUUUAAAACCAAACAAAAAAAAGAAAAAAGAAGAAAAAAUAAAAAGAAAAAGGAAAAGAAGAGAAAAGAAGAAAAAAGAAGAAAAAAGAAAAAGAGAAAAGAAAAGAAAAGAAAAGAAAAGAAAAGAAAAGAAAAGAAAAGAAAAGAAAAGAAAAGAAAAGAAAAGAAAAGAAAAGAAAAGAAAAGAAAAGAAAAGAAGAGAAAAGAAAAGAAGAGAAAAGAAAAGAAGAGAAAAGAAAAGAAAAGAAGAGAAAAGAAAAGAAGACCAAUCAACCAACCAAACAAAACAGCCCUUUUUUUGAGCAGCCCAACUUACCACCCUUACCAUAGUGAAUCAGAUGCAGUGAACAAUAAAACCCACAAAUGCCUGACACACAUAUUGCUGAGAAGGCUUAAGGAAAUACCAAAUGCAGAUCUUCACUCUCUGACAAGCAUGUGCUUCUAGCAUACUGUGUACUUCCAGCUCUCUGUUUCUUUAAGGUUUCUCUUCUUUUAUCAGAAGAAACGUAGGAAUAAGGAACACUUCCAAGUAAUAAGUACACACCUAAUUUAUUACACCAGGAAAAGCAAUGUUCAGAGGCUCCAUGAAAGAAAUCUCACUCAAGUAGAUGAGUUGUUUCAUAUAAUGGCUUUUUGUUAUUGUUGUGCUUUGCUUUUUGUUUUCUGUUUUUUAUUUUUUGUCAGCUUCUCUCUUUAAUAACGGGCUUUUUUCUUCAUUGACUUCUUGCUGAACUCCUUUGUAGAUCUGUCACAUCAGAUUAGCUUGUUCAUGUUCACAAUGCCCUGUCUUCUGGAGAGUUAUGCCUGUAAGGAGAAUAAAACUCAUCCCUCAACUUCAAGCAGACAGAAAACACACCUCUGUCCAAGUUUCUCCAAGGCCCUUUUGUACAUAGAGCAGCGUGUUUCCAUAACAGAUGUUAUAAUGACAUUUCUCUCCCACUGCUUUCCAUGUGAGACGAAUGUGAAGGAGGUUCUUCAGAGGAGGUUUUUUUUUUUUUUUUCCAGUUAAACAAGGAGAACAGACACACUAGCACUCUAAAAUAUUUUUGAGCCACCCCUAUUGUGCAUCCAGUGGUCAGGAGCAAACUAAAUGCAUCCUGGGGCUUGAGGGUGACUUUCAGCCUGACAGAUUGAGGUCGUCUAGCACAGUUCGCCAAGUACUUGCACGUUCAGUAAAUCUCUUCAUUAGGGUACUCCUCCCUCUUUAGAUCUCCCAAGCUAGAAAAGCACAUUUGCAAAGACAAGUUGCUGCUGGUUGAAGCCCUUGGGCCAGUGAGUGGGUGGAGUGGCUGCCAUGGUUGUGUAAGGCUCUGGGCCACACAGCAAAAGCAGGGACCAAAGUCACUCACUGUGGAGCAGGGGUGAGCCUGGGGAGCAGACAGGAUGGCCAGCCAGAGGCUGCUGCCCACAGCAAGCUCUCCUUUUUGUGCUGUGGGACAGUUCAGUCAUUAUCUUCUCCCUCACCCACUCCCACCCCAUCUCUUUUUUAAUUUAACACAGAGGAUGAAAUUUUGGCUCAAUGUAAAUAGGAUUUUUACCACUGAUUUCAAUAUGGCAAGAAUUUCAUCUAAACCCUCCAUGCCUCACUGAAGACAAUAACACAAAGAACACUAUUUUGGAACGGAGAAAGGCACCGUAUUUGUGAUCUGCUUUGUUUAUUGUGUUUGGGGGCUUCAAGAUGUAGUCACCCACCCACUUCUUUAUUAAAUGUUAAUUUGGCUUUUGAAAGUUUUACAAGCUACAGUAAAACAAUAAUUAAAAGUUUGUACGCAAUUUCCAUAGCUGGUUUUCAUUCCUCAGGGAGUAUUAAUUCUGGUUUAAUUUGUUUUUCAUUUUCAUUGUGCAACUAAACACAGUUUGUUUUUAAAAGGAGGAUCAAACUGAUGCUGAAAUAUGCAUACAUGUGUUGGCAGGCACUUCUCAAGAAGGACUGCAACCUGUGAACUUGGACCUCAAACAACAAAUGUGCAGAGCUCACAUGAACUUGAAGUUGCCCUUUUUUUUUGUGACAUCUAUAAACAUUUAUGAAGCUUUGUUUUUAUUCCAGUAAAUCUAUGUUGUUAUUUUGGGUCUUUUAAUAGUGUCUAUUUAUAUCGUGAAAUCAUGACAACUGCGUUGUCUUUCUGGAAAGCCACAGGUCAAGGGUCUGCUAAGCAAAUACUAACACAUGUGAGUAACUUCCCUCAUAUGAAUAAUUAGACUGAUCUUAACAGAGUGGUGUUUUUAGGAUCAAGCUCCCAAUAUUUUGACAUACUUCCUGAAAUGUUUUGUAGAUAGGAGCUGUUGACUUUCAUAUGGUGAAAAAAUAAUUUGAACGCCAAAAAGCCCCUCCAAAAGAAGGGAACAUAUUUGGGUCAUCAGGUCUUAACAAUUACAGUUUCACGUGUUAGCUUUCUUUUCCUAGGUACAAGAAGUGUUGGAAGAACAUUUACUCAGAAGAGAUCAAGUAGAAUUACUGUCAAAGGUUUGUGUAAGUUAGCAUAUAUAAUGCUUCCCCUGGUUGUAUGCAAAAACAUUUGGAGAUCUCUGUAUUUUUUUCCCCUCAUCUUCUAGGAAAAAUGAUGGAAUUAAUUACUACAACUGGGAUAUAUUAAAUUUUAUAACUUAUAUCAUGUACCUUUGCCAUGAAGAAAUAGAAAAAUGUAUACAUGGGAACAUCCCUUUAAUGAUAAGAACUACAAAAAUUCAUGCUUCCUAUGAUAAAUAUUAUUCUGUAUUUAAGGCUAUGCCUGGAUAUACUUCCUCUGUAGUGCAUGUGUUAUGAAAGUAAACAGAAUUCUGAGACAGAAUUCUGAUCAUACAAAGUGUACAUAAACUUGAAGUUGUGUGGAAUAGGCAUCUUUCCUUAAAAAGAGAAUUUCCUCAUCAUCUACUGAGAUAUUAAAUUGAUUCUUGGAAAGGUUUUUGUGAAUACACUAAUCCAUUUUUUCCUGCCAUUUGCACAGAUUCUUGGUGUGUUAGAAUGCAAUUCCAGUAAAAACUUCUCUCAGAAAAGCAUGUCAGGAACAAAUUAGCUCUUUACUCUUUAUUGAAAUAUAUUCAAGGGUUUGCCAUGUUGUCUUCUGUACCUUAUUCUCAAAAUAAAUAUUUUAUACUUAUGCUUAACUGCUGCUAGUAAAUUGCAGAAAUUUUUUGCUUAAGUUCAUUCUUGCAAUAAAG
ensembl:lncRNA